rnacentral:rRNA from 1 species
CGAACGGUAACAUUGGAGCUUGCUCCAGAUGACGAGUGGCGGACGGGUGAGUAACGCGUAGGAAUCUGCCUAGUAGUGGGGGACAACAUGUGGAAACGCAUGCUAAUACCGCAUACGCCCUACGGGGGAAAGCGGGGGAUCUUCGGACCACGCGCUAUUAGAUGAGCCUGCGUUAGAUUAGCUUGUUGGUGGGGUAAUGGCCUACCAGGGCGACGAUCUAUAGCUGGUCUGAGAGGACGAUCAGCCACACUGGGACUGAGACACGGCCCAGACUCCUACGGGAGGCAGCAGUGGGGAAUAUUGGACAAUGGGCGCAAGCCUGAUCCAGCAAUACCACGUGUGUGAAGAAGGCCUGAGGGUUGUAAAGCACUUUCAAUUGGGAGGAAAACAGCUGGGUUAAUAGCCCUGCUCUUGACAUUACCUUCAGAAGAAGCACCGGCUAACUCCGUGCCAGCAGCCGCGGUAAUACGGAGGGUGCGAGCGUUAAUCGGAAUUACUGGGCGUAAAGCGUACGUAGGCGGUUAUUUAAGUCAGAUGUGAAAGCCCCGGGCUCAACCUGGGAACUGCAUUUGAAACUGGAUAACUAGAGUUUGAUAGAGGAGAGUAGAAUUUCUGGUGUAGCC